AGAGUUUGAUCCUGGCUCAGAACGAACGCUGGCGGCAGGCCUAACACAUGCAAGUCGAGCGCCCGCAAGGGAGCGGCAGACGGGUGAGUAACGCGUGGGAACGUGCCCUUUGGUUCGGAAUAUUCCCGGGAAACUGGGAGCAAAACCGGAUAAGCCCUUCGGGGGAAAGUUUACGCCAAAGGAUCGGCCCGCGUUAGAUUAGGUAGUUGGUGGGGUAACGGCCUACCAAGCCUACGAUCUAUAGCUGAUCUGAGAGGAUGAUCAGCCACACUGGGACUGAGACACGGCCCAGACUCCUACGGGAGGCAGCAGUGGGGAAUCUUGGACAAUGGGCGCAAGCCUGAUCCAGCCAUGCCGCGUGGAUGACUGAAGGCCCUAGGGUUGUAAAGUCCUCUCGACGGGGACGAUAAUGACGGUACCCGUAGAAGAAGCCCCGGCUAACUUCGUGCCAGCAGCCGCGGUAAUACGAAGGGGGCUAGCGUUGUUCGGAUUUACUGGGCGUAAAGGGCGCGUAGGCGGAUUUUUAAGUCGGGGGUGAAAUCCCGGAGCUCAACUCCGGAACUGCCUUCGAUACUGGAAGUCUGGAGCACGGUAGAGGUGAGUGGAAUUCCGAGUGUAGCGGUGAAAUGCGUAGA
rnacentral:rRNA from 1 species